AUUGAACGCUGGCGGCAGGCCUAACACAUGCAAGUCGAGCGGAGCGGCGGACGGGUGAGUAAUGCCUAGGAAUCUGCCUGGUAGUGGGGGAUAACGUCCGGAAACGGGCGCUAAUACCGCAUACUAUCAGAUGAGCCUAGGUCGGAUUAGCUAGUUGGUGGGGUAAAGGCCUACCAAGGGGCCGAUCCGUAACUGGUCUGAGAGGAUGAUCAGUCACACGUGUAAGAGGACACGGACUAAAAUCCGACGUGAGGCAGCAGUGGGGAUUAUUCGGCAAUGGGCAGUAGCCUGUACCAGCCAUGCCGCGAGAGUGUAGAAGAGCUUCGGAGUGUAAAGCACUUUAAGUUGGGAAGCGUUACCUACAGAAUAAGCACCGGCUAACUUCGUGCCAGCAGCCGCGGUAAUUC
rnacentral:rRNA from 1 species